GAAACCGUGCAGUGUGAUCUGCCCGCUGUCUUAUGUUAAGGAAUAGUGGUUUGAUACUGCUGGGAUGUUUUGAAUGAGUUUUUGAGUUUUAUAGAUAGGGCAUGUUAACAUUCACUGAGCUGCAGGUGUAGAGGGGGCAGAGACAAAAAAUAUAUACUGUAAUUCAGAGAUGAGCACUAAAAUAACAGACAGCUCUUUAGUGAGUGUGGAUCUUUGUUGACUUUUUGUAGAAAAGCAUGCCCUAUCUGGAUGGACUGGUUGUGAGAUGAUGUGCCUGUAGAGGAACAAACUUAUCCUUGAAUCAUCUCUAGCAUUGGAAGAGAAGAGCAAAUGGCAGCAAGGAAUACAACUGAGGUUUUUGAUCUGGUCUCAACGGAUCCAGUGUAUUUUUCUCCUCGUGAUGACGUCACACUGCCCUGCCACCUCUCUCCUGAAACCAAUGCUGUUGCCAUGGAGAUUAGAUGGUUCAAGUGGAGAGAAUGUAUCUACCUGUAUAGGAGUGGUCAUGUGAUAGAGGGGAGGGGCUAUGAGGGCAGAGUGAGUGUGGACCCCCAGCAGCUGCAGAGAGGAGACGUGUCUCUCACACUGAGGGAGAGCAGAAAGGCAGACUGGGGACAGUACAUAUGCCAAGUUAUCAGAGGAGAAGACAAAAAGGAGGGAUACAUUGAGUUGCUUAAUCGGCGGUAUGGUAAGUACAUACCAGAAAGAAGUUGCUGUAUGUAUUUCUUUAGGAGGGAGGGGGGUUAUCGUGUGGUAAGUUGAUGGGCCUUAUUUUGGCGAUCAGAUAUGCUUGGUCACCAGUGUGAAGCUACAAUUUUACCAAAGAUUUUGGGUGUAGGCAUGCAGCCCAAAUUCAAUGGGUGAAUUGUUCAAAAUGUUAUUAUUUCUUUCAAUUAACCAGAGGUUUUGGCCAUGACAUGCAAUAAACCAAUCAGACCUCAUCUCCCAUUCUCUUUAAAGGGGCCCUUCACUCAUUUGAAUUAAGCUUUGUAUCAUUAGCAAUCUAAUCAUAUUUUUUAAAGAGGACAUAGAAUGGAUGAAUUGAGUAUCCCAGCUAACAAUUUCUGGUUAGGAGAACGUUUUUAGAACGUUUUUUUCCUGGUUAGGAAAACGUUGCCUGAAAGUUGCGAAAGUUGCCACAAGGUUCCCCAGGAAAGUUUUCUUGACGAAAAUAC